rnacentral:rRNA from 1 species
GCUGUUGGAGUGCACGUCCAAGCAGUGAGAUUGAGUGUUAGGCAAAUCCGGCACUCUUAAGAUUGAGCUGUGAUGGGGAGAGGAACUUGUUCCUCGAGUCGUUGAUUUCACACUGCCGAGAAAAGCCUCUAGCUAGAAUAACGGUGCCCGUACCGCAAACCGACACAGGUAGUCAAGAUGAGAAUUCUAAGGUGAGCGAGCGAACUCUCGUUAAGGAACUCGGCAAAAUGACCCCGUAACUUCGGGAGAAGGGGUGCUCUUUGAGGUUCACGCUUCGAAGAGCCGCAGUGAAUAGGCCCAAGCGACUGUUUAUCAAAAACACAGGUCUCUGCUAAACCGUAAGGUGACGUAUAGGGGCUGACGCCUGCCCGGUGCUGGAAGGUUAAGAGGAGUGGUUAGCGCAAGCGAAGCUACGAAUCGAAGCCCCAGUAAACGGCGGCCGUAACUAUAACGGUCCUAAGGUAGCGAAAUUCCUUGUCGGGUAAGUUCCGACCCGCACGAAAGGCGUAACGAUUUGGGCACUGUCUCAACGAGAGACUCGGUGAAAUCAUAGUACCGGUGAAGAUGCCGGUUACCCGCGACAGGACGGAAAGACCCCGUGGAGCUUUACUGUAGCCUGAUAUUGAAAUUCGGUACAGUUUGUACAGGAUAGGUAGGAGCCUUAGAAGCGUGAGCGCUAGCUUACGUGGAGGCAUUGGUGGGAUACUACCCUAAUUGUAUUGGAUUUCUAACCCGCAGCACUUAUCGUGCUGGGAGACAGUGUCAGGCGGGCAGUUUGACUGGGGCGGUCGCCUCCUAAAGAGUAACGGAGGCGCUCAAAGGUUCCCUCAGAAUGGUUGGAAAUCAUUCAUAGAGUGUAAAGGCAUAAGGGAGCUUGACUGCGAGACCUACAAGUCGAGCAGGGUCGAAAGACGGACUUAGUGAUCCGGUGGUUCCGCAUGGAAGGGCCAUCGCUCAACGGAUAAAAGCUACCCCGGGGAUAACAGGCUUAUCUCCCCCAAGAGUUCACAUCGACGGGGAGGUUUGGCACCUCGAUGUCGGCUCAUCGCAUCCUGGGGCUGUAGUCGGUCCCAAGGGUUGGGCUGUUCGCCCAUUAAAGCGGUACGCGAGCUGGGUUCAGAACGUCGUGAGACAGUUCGGUCCCUAUCCGUC